CCAUGUUAGUGCAAGAUGUUAGAAAUAUAUGUCUAAAUCCAUCCUGGCCCCUUGUUAUUCAAAAUAUCACCCAACCCUCUGGCAGUCAAGUGGGUUAACAUCUUCAUAGAAUUUAUCGUGGAAGAAUAAUAAAAGGAAAGGAGACAAUAAGGUAUGACUGACAAGUUCUAUCCAUUAGGCUGUUACAUUAUGCUAUAUCUUCCUGUUGAGUUAAAAAUGUAUAAUGGAGGCUGACGUUUCCAUAUUACUCUUUAUUACAAAAAAUGAACUCAGUGCUUCCACUCAGUCUCAAGGCUACGUCUUGUUACUGGAGCUUAUAUUUAAUUCAACAAACAUGAUUAAAUAUGGCUUCCUUUCGAGGGAUCCUCUUCGUAAUGCACACCUAUUGAAGGAGCACGUUAUUCCAGCUACAAAUGAUCUCAUAGAUUAAUUCUGCAAAAUUAAAAGAAAUAUGUUUCACUCAAAG